UACGAAGGGGGCGAGCGUUGUUCGGAAUCACUGGGCGUAAAGCGUACGUAGGCGGAUAGAUUAGUUAGGGGUGAAAUCCCGAGGCUCAACCUCGGAACUGCCUCUAAUACUGUCUAUCUAGAGAUCGAGAGAGGUGAGUGGAAUUCCUAGUGUAGAGGUGAAAUUCGUAGAUAUUAGGAAGAACACCAGUGGCGAAGGCGGCUCACUGGCUCGAUACUGACGCUGAGGUACGAAAGCGUGGGGAGCAAACAGG
rnacentral:rRNA from 1 species